rnacentral:sRNA from 1 species
GUACAGCCAGAUUGUUUUGAAUCAUGCUAGGUUUUUAAAAUUGAAGUUUUAAUUUUUACUUAGUUUAGACACUCUGCAAUAUCACCAAAAAGUUCGCUGCAUAGAAAAUCAAGAAGUAAGGACUAUGAUGUAUAUAGUGAUAAUGAUAUCUGCAGUCAGGAAUCAGAAGAUAAUUUUGCCAAAGAGCUUCAACAGUACAUACAAGCCAGAGAAAUGGCAAAUGCUGCUCAACCUGAAGAAUCUACAAAGAAAGAAGGAGUAAAAGAUACCCCACAGGCUGCUAAACAAAAAAAUAAAAAUCUUAAAGCUGGUCACAAGAAUGGCAAACAGAAGAAAAUGAAGCGAAAAUGGCCUGGCACUGGAAACAAAAGAUCAAAUGCUUUGCUGAGGAACAGUGGCUCACAGGAAGAGGAUGGUAAACCUAAAGAGAAGCAGCAGCAUUUGAGUCAGGCAUUCAUCAACCAACAUACAGUGGAACGCAAGGGAAAACAAAUUUGUAAAUAUUUUCUUGAAAGGAAAUGUAUUAAGGGAGACCAGUGUAAAUUUGAUCAUGAUGCAGAGAUAG